rnacentral:rRNA from 1 species
GACGAACGCUGGCGGCGUGCUUAACACAUGCAAGUCGUACGGUAAGGCCCUUUCGGGGGUACACGAGUGGCGAACGGGUGAGUAACACGUGAGUAACCUGCCCACAACCUUGGGAUAACGCUAGGAAACUGGUGCUAAUACUGGAUAUGUGCUCCUGCUGCAUGGUGGGGGUUGGAAAGCUCCGGCGGUUGUGGAUGGACUCGCGGCCUAUCAGCUUGUUGGUGGGGUAGUGGCCUACCAAGGCGGCGACGGGUAGCCGGCCUGAGAGGGUGACCGGCCACAUUGGGACUGAGAUACGGCCCAGACUCCUACGGGAGGCAGCAGUGGGGAAUAUUGCACAAUGGGCGCAAGCCUGAUGCAGCAACGCCGCGUGCGGGAUGACGGCCUUCGGGUUGGAAACCGCUUUCAGCAGGGACGAAGCUUUUUGUGACGGUACCUGCAGAAGAAGCACCGGCUAACUACGUG